GACGAACGCUGGCGGCGUGCUUAACACAUGCAAGUCGAACGGCAAGGCCCUGCUUUUGUGGGGUUCUCGAGUGGCGAACGCGUGAGUGUCACGUGAGUAACCUGCCCUUGACUUUGGGAUAACUUCAGGAAACUGGGGCUAAUAUCGGAUAGGAGCUCCUGCUGCAUGGUGGGGGUUGGAAAGUUUCGGCGGUUGGGGAUGGACUCGCGGCUAAUCGGCUUGUUGGUGGGGUAGUGGCUUACCAAGGCUGUCACGGGUAGCCGGCAUGAGAGCGUGACCGGCCACAAGGGGCCUGCGGUAGGGCCCAGAGUGCUACGGGGGGCAGCAGUGGGAAAUAUUGCACACUGGGCGGAAGCCUGAUGCAGCAGCGCCGCGUGCGGAAUGACGGCCUGCGGGUUGUAAACCGCUUUAGCCUGUGACGCAGCGUGAGUGACGGUAAUGAGUAAAGAAGCACCGGCUAACUACGUG
rnacentral:rRNA from 1 species